rnacentral:pre_miRNA from 1 species
CUUGUACUCCCUCCGUCCGAAAAUACUUGUCAUUGAAAUGGAUGUAUCUAGAUGUAUUUUAGUUCUAGACACAUCCAUUUUGAUGGCAAGUAAUUCCGGAUGGAGGGAGUACUUG